AUACUUACCUGCCGUAGAGGACACCGUGAUCUUGCAGGCGGUUCCUCUAGGGAGAGGCUCUUCGAUUACUCCUAAUGCGAGUAACUCGGGCGCAUAACUUUUGGUAGUCGGGACUGCGUUCGCGCUGUCCCGGU
rnacentral:snRNA from 1 species